CCUACGGGUGGCAGCAGUGGGGGAUAUUGCACAAUGGGGGAAACCCUGAUGCAGCGACGCCGCGUGUGGGAAGACGGUCUUCUGGAUUGUAAACCACUGUCCCCAGGGACGAAAAUGACGGUACCUGGGGAGGAAGCUCCGGCUAACUACGUGCCAGCAGCCGCGGUAAUACGUAGGGAGCAAGCGUUGUCCGGAAUUACUGGGUGUAAAGGGAGCGUAGGCGGGGAUGCAAGUGGGGUGUCAAAACUACCGGCUCAACCGAUAGUCGCACUUAAAACUGCAGCUCUUGAGUGAAGUAGAGGCAGGCGGAAUUCCUAGUGUAGCGGUGAAAUGCGUAGAUAUUAGGAGGAACACCAGUGGCGAAGGCGGCCUGCUGGGCUUUCACUGACGCUGAGGCUCGAAAGUGUGGGGAGCAAACAGGAUUAGAUACCCGGGUAGUC
rnacentral:rRNA from 1 species